UACGAAGGGGGGCUAGCGUUGCUCGGAAUUACUGGGCGUAAAGCGCACGUAGGCGGCUUUCUAAGUCGGGGGGUGAAAAUCCUGGAGCUCAACUCCAGAACUGCCUUCGAUACUGGAGAGCUCGAGUCCGGGAGAGGUGAGUGGAACUGCGAGUGUAGAGGUGAAAUUCGUAGAUAUUCGCAAGAACACCAGUGGCGAAGGCGGCUCACUGGCCCGGUACUGACGCUGAGGCGCGAAAGCUAGGGGAGCGAACAGG
rnacentral:rRNA from 1 species